GUUUCAGGGCAUAACGGAAUUUCUUGUUUUUACUUUCCGAUUCCCCGACCGACGACGAGAGGCAGCGCACAUCGCGCAGAUCUCAGCAGUGGGCCCCAGACAGCCAACAACAACAACAGGCAGGGUACAUCAUAAAAGCGUACCCAUCUCUUUAUUUUUUUCUUCUUCUUCCACGUUUACAUAUCAGUGCCAAGCACUUUGGAGAGGGUAAGGAGGCGGGGCUUUUCAAAUGUUGACAACUAGACCCGAAAAGACCCAAGUCAUUAUAAGUUUAGCUUGAAUGGGGGCUACUGUUUUUUUUCUCUCUUCCCUACGCUAGCGACGUGAGAUAGGCGAGAUGGUCAAAAUGCCUUUCAAUUACGGCCGCCAACCCGUUCGUGAACAAGUCGACCAAAAGCAAAAGCACACGCACAAAUAAAAUAAAAUAAAAAAAAAAAGAGGUCGGAAAUUCAUUUUUGAAAAAUAACAAAAAUUCUCAUUGAAAUCUUUUUCGGAAUACCGGCAACUGAUUAUAUAAAAGGUAAGAGAGAAACAAAACAAGAAAUAACCGAAAA